rfam:Gossypium raimondii chromosome 13, whole genome shotgun sequence.
AACCCAUGGUGAGGACACCGUCUUUAUAAGUCCUUAUACCUCUCCCAUGCGUCAUAUAGAGUUUUUAAGUCAAUCUAAACGAAGGAAGAGAUAUCAUUCCUCAACUU